UAUCGUUUUUGUAAACUGUAUUAAGAGAAUGCUAGUGGAAGGCUUGCUAUCAUUCAUCAGGCAACCGCUUUUGGCGCCCAAAACAAGAGAGAGAGAUAAUGAGAUUGGCGCCGUCUUGCUUACAUCCCUGUUCAACACCGUGACUUUAAUGUACAGCUCAAAGUGAUUGUUUUUACAUGCAAUCAAUGGAAGUUAUCCCUUAGGACGUGCCAGUAAUUUAACGCGGCAGUUCUGGACGGCUUCCUUUUCCCAUCGGUGCAAAAUCGCUACCAGCGUCGUCUCGUUGGCCUCCUUAUUUUGAGAUCAUCGACAGUUAUCUGUUUAUCUGUGACUAUUAACAAGAGUCUGUUGAGAGAAUCAGGAAGUACUUGGGAAUGCGGGUGACUCCGAAGGCUGGAACUGAAUGGUGUGAAGGGAGUGGAGCGUACCAGUUGACCUUCGAAUUGGCGACCUUCCACACUGCACCUGUGACCUUUCAUUUCCAUACUUCAUCACAGUUACCGUAUCUUGGAUGGUUAUGCUUAGCUGACCCUUUUGUCCUGCAACGCAGUUUUUGUCAAUGUAGUGAGGUCACGUGUUCCGUAGUCUGAUCUUUCCUAGGUAGUGACCACUAAGGGUAUUUACUAUCCACCUUUGCGGCGUCUUUUGUACAGCAAGUUGGGGAAGACCGUCAAAGCAUAAACUAAAGUGUAAAUAUCGUAAAGAGGUGACCUAAAGAAAAUAUGAGGUCUAGAUAGCAACCCCCGAACUUUGCUGGGAGUCACUUGCUUGGAAAGAUCCUGUAGUCAAACGUUGAUCCACCAAAUUCAGUCUCUUGUUCCCUUGAAGUUAUGGUGAGAUGCACUGCUCUAUGAAAAUAACAUCAACGCUAAUUAUCUUUCUUCAUCAAAAUAGAUUGCAUAGUUUCAUCGAAUCCCUAGAUUCUAUAACGAUGACAAUGUCUCUGGAACGUCGAAGGUGUGAGAUUAAGAUAUUCAGAAGAAACUACGGACAUAUCUGUUCAGAAAUAGUUUAGGCCUAUUCACAGAAGAAAAGGGAAUUCAGGAAAACGGUAAGAUAUUCUAUGUAUAUAAAAGGCAAUUUCUGUGUGUUUGUCUGUCUGUCUGUUUAUCGGCUAUGCAUGCCAAGACUAUGAAAGCUAGGGCUACUCAAUGUUUACCAUAGACUCCUUCCCCUCACCCCCCAGGAAGGUUUUAGUCAAAAUCCGAAAUUCGGGGGCAUUUUUAAAGGGGGGUCAUAACCCCUCUUUUUCGUACCUCAUCAUUUUUUAUAGCUUUCAGAGUUGACAUCUAUGUAGAAGUGUUUCUAUUGGUGCAAACAGACUCCCCCAAAUAUGGCGGUCAUAAAGCACCCUCAGUAGUAAGGGGGCAAUCACCCCUGGGAAUGGGAGUCCGAGGGUUUCCCAUAAUAUUAGGGUGAAGGAGGACUACGUCUUUUCGACUUAAGAACCAGGGGAGAAGGGAGUCGUAGCCUACCUACCCCAACCUUGAGCAGGGGAGCGCAGCCCCCUCUUUGGUAAUUAGGACCCAAAGAGUCAAAGAUGGCCCUAUUGCAUUCAAAUUUGGUACUAUAAAUGCAUUUAACAUCUUUAUCAAAGGUUAACUUUAGACUGAGUUUUAUCAAGGGCUGUUUAAAGCCCGCUACUAACGUUCAGUUAUGCCUGCUCAGUUAUAACUGCACAGUCGGACUGUGCAGGCAAAUCUAAGCCACUAACAAUGCAGUCCUUUUCCUCAGUUCUGCAGCAGCCGCUGCGUCAACACACGAUGCUCUGGCUGUAAUUAGCUUGCUGACAUCAUAAAAAAAGAUCAUUAACGUCAAAUAAGACGUCCAGUGAAAUAGUGGUUGAUGAAAACGAAUUAAAUACUACUUUCAUGUCAAUUUGUUAAGAGUUUAAAUUUAGGCCCUAGGACUUUCUUAAUGUUUAUUGAAUAUUUUAUGAAUGAAGGGAGGGUUCCAUGGAAAGAUAAUUAAGUUGGUAAUCCUUUGCUUUCAUUUCAAAGUUGACACUUAUAGGCCUAAUAAUUUUUCUAUUUCAUUAAAAGGGGUUAAUA